rnacentral:rRNA from 1 species
UGCCAGCAGCCGCGGUAAUACAGAGGGUGCAAACGUUGUUCGGAAUCACUGGGCAUAAAGCGCACGUAGGCGGCCAGGUAAGUGUGAAGUGAAAUCCCACGGCUCACCCGUGGAACUGCUUCGCAUACUGCUUGGCUCGAGGAAGGUAGGGGAGAGCAGAACUCUUGGUGGAGCGGUGAAAUGCGUAGAUAUCAAGAGGAAUACCAGUGGCGAAGGCGGCUCUCUGGUCCUUUCCUGACGCUGAGGUGCGAAAGCUAGGGUAGCGAACGGGAUUAGAUA